GUGGGUGUGGCCUAGCGGUUAGGGCGUCAGGUUGUGGCCCUGAAGAUCGGGGGUUCGAAUCCCCUCACCCACCCCA
rnacentral:tRNA from 2 species